rnacentral:lncRNA from 1 species
GCGGAAGUGGGUGUUUGUUAUUUCCCCAAAUGCGGAGGCCCCUGCACCACUAACGCGAGGAAACGCAGGCGAGUGGGAAGUUACCUAGGGUAUGAAUUAAUACAGACUUGGAAACUCUGAAAGAACUUAGAAUCAGCAUUUUGAAGCAGAAGCUUGGGCAUGCUGUGAUUUUCCAAUAAACUGCUAUCACAAUGUCAAAAUGCAGUUCAGACAAGAGCAACACAGAGAUCUCAAACAUUAAAACUAAGCUGUGCUAGAACAAAAAUGCAAUGAAAGAAACACUGGAUGAAUGAAAAGCCCUGCUUUGCAACCCCUCAGCAUGGCAGG